GACGAACGCUGGCGGCGUGCUUAACACAUGCAAGUCGAACGGAAAGGCCCCUUUGGGGGUACUCGAGUGGCGAACGGGUGAGUAACACGUGAGUAACCUGCCCUUGACUUCGGGAUAACUUCAGGAAACUGGGGCUAAUACCGGAUAGGAAUCCUUGCUGCAUGGUGGGGGUUGGAAAGCUUCGGCGGUUUUGGAUGGACUCGCGGCUUAUCAGCUUGUUGGUGGGGUAGUGGCUUACCAAGGCUUUGACGGGUAGCCGGCCUGAGAGGGCGACCGGCCACAUUAGGACUGAGAUACGGCCCAGACUCCUACGGGAGGCAGCAGUGGGGAAUAUUGCACAAUGGGCGGAAGUCUGAUGCAGCAACGCCGCGUGCGGGAUGACGGCCUUCGGGUUGUAAACCGCGUUCAGCAGGGGCGAAGCUUGUGGUGACGGUACCUGCAGAAGAAGCACCGGCUAACUGCGUG
rnacentral:rRNA from 1 species